rnacentral:rRNA from 1 species
AACGAACGCUGGCGGCAGGCCUAACACGUGCAAGUCGAACGCCCCGCAAGGGGAGUGGCAGACGGGUGAGUAACGCGUGGGAACCUUCCCAGUGGUACGGAAUAACUGACCGAAAGGUUGGCUAAUACCGUAUACGCCCGAAAGGGGAAAGAUUUAUCGCCAUUGGAUGGGCCCGCGUCGGAUUAGCUAGUUGGUGAGGUAAUGGCUCACCAAGGCGACGAUCCGUAGCUGGUCUGAGAGGAUGAUCAGCCACACUGGGACUGAGACACGGCCCAGACUCCUACGGGAGGCAGCAGUGGGGAAUAUUGGACAAUGGGCGCAAGCCUGAUCCAGCCAUGCCGCGUGAGUGAUGAAGGUCUUCGGAUUGUAAAACUCUUUCGCCGGGGAAGAUAAUGACGGUACCCGGAGAAGAAGCUCCGGCUAACUUCGUGCCAGCAGCCGCGGUAA